AUACGGAGGGUACAAGCGUUACUCGGAAUCACUGGGCGUAAAGCGCGCGCAGGCGGUCUUUUAAGUUGGAUGUGAAAGCCUACAGCUCAACUGUAGAACUGCAUCCAAAACUAUUAGACUAGAGUCUGGGAGGGGAAGAUGGAAUUAGUUGUGUAGGGGUAAAAUCCGUAGAGAUAACUAUGAAUACCAAAAGCGAAGGCGAUCUUCUGGAACAGUACUGACGCUCAGGCGCGAAAGCGUGGGGAGCAAACAGGAUUAGAAACCCCAGUAGUCC
rnacentral:rRNA from 1 species